rnacentral:lncRNA from 1 species
UUGGAACCAGCCUCCUGCUGAAGUAAAUUUGUCUCCAAUCACAAUCCCAGGCUAUUAACAGGAAGUCAUUGAAUAUGGAGGGUUUUGAAUACAAAGCUGAAGAAAGACCAGAGCAGUGGACCAUCAGAUAGCUUUUACAAAGAAAAAUAUCUGUAAAUAAUUUCGUGAUCGAAGGUAAUGGGAAAAUAUGGUAAAAUGAGUGAUAAUAAGCCUUGGAUGUUUACUUUUUUUGCUUUUAUAAGUGUAUAGAGAUCUGAAGUGUUCUGCAGAAAUUGCACAGGUGGCAAUUCUCAUAGAAGAAAGAGGAAGGCAGGGACCCUUGAAAUGGUAAUAUCUCAGCU